rnacentral:rRNA from 1 species
GACGAACGCUGGCGGCGUGCUUAACACAUGCAAGUCGAACGGAAAGGCCCUGCUUUCGUGGGGUGCCCGAGUGGCGAACGGGUGAGUAAGACGUGAGUAACCUGCUCUUGACUUUGGGAUAACUUCAGGAAACUGGGGUUAAUACCGGAUAGGAGCCCCUGCUGCAUGGUGGGGGUUGGAAAGUUUCGGCGGUUGGGGAUGGACUGGCGGCUUAUCAGCUUGUUGGUGGGGUAGUGGCUUACCAAGGCUUGGACGGAUAGCCGGCCUGAGAGGGUGGACGGCCACAUUGGGCCUGAGAUACGGCCCAGACUCCUACGGGAGGCAGCAGUGGGGAGUAUUGCACAAUGGGCGGAAGCCUGAUGCAGCAACGCCGCGUGCGGGAUGACGGCCUUCGGGUUGUAAACCGCUUUCGCCUGUGACGAAGCGUGAGUGACGGUAAUGGGUAAAGAAGCACCGGCUAACUACGUG